CCUCCCUCCUCUCUUGUUUUGGCUUUCCACUCCCGAGCUAGGGCCGCCGCCGCCGCCGCCGGCCGCCGCUGCCGCCCCAUCGCUCCUCCGGCGCUGGCCAUCGAAGGAAGGUCAUCUUCUCCUCUUGGUGGCUUCCUCAUAGCAAGGUUGGGCGCUACUCCUCCGCACAACCCCGUCGGCAAUAACGAGAAGGCGGGCGGCGCCGCGAGCUCUCGUCCCGAGGAAACCGCAGGAGGACGAGGUUGAUGCGGUCGUCCGCGGCUCCUCCGACGGCGAGGCCAGCCUCCUUUUCACCUCUGCUAGACCCGCAGGUCCAGACUGUUUGGAAGUGAAACGUCAAACCCUGGUGAUUUGGGUCUGUGUUCAAGGGGAGGCAAGUCUAGAUUUGCAUUUGUUUUCUCAUGGUGUUGUACUUACUAUAGUAAAAUCUUAUAAAUUUUGACUGGAUGGUGAGAAAUCUGUGAAUGUGUAUUGAGAAAUCAAUACAAAGCUUCCAAGUUUUUAUGCAAUCUUGAGCAUUUUCCCACUACUAAAAGUGAUAGUUACAGUGUGUGAUGAAUUUCUGAAUAAGAUAGUUAAGCUUCUAUAUGAUUCAGGCUUUGACAAAAUAAAGAUUCGCAUAGUAGCCAUAAUUCUUCUCUCUCUCUCUCUCUUUUUGCCUCCUUUUAGACUCUAUACUAGCCCCUCUCAUACUACUUCACUACCAUCAUUUAUCAAGUGUGUAGCAUGUUUCCUUCUCACAUGUGUACUAUUUUUUUUCAGUUUGUAUCUACUGUAGCAGAGUACAUCAACGAUGUUUUGGAAAUUCUGUUUUUCGUUUUUUAAUAAAUGUUCUUCAAUGUAGCUAUCCAUCUUCCAUUGCUCUUUGUUCCUAUUGGAUGGUCGCGCCCUAGGAGUGGAUGAUUGAAUUUAGUCCUGCUGUCAUGUGUGAGGGUGAUGUAAAAGGAUGAACUAAUAACUGGAUCUUCAGUAGGAUCGCUCAACAGAUGGUUUCACAGAUUUUCAUAUCAACAGGCUGGUAUAACCGGAUGUGAGAAGAUAGUUGAGAAUCUUCUGUUUGCAGUGAGCACCCACACAAAUUCUCCCUGCUACAUCUGAGAAUUCUUAUGCAUGUGACUUAUGAGAUGCACUUGCUCGUGAAGGACAUAGGCUACCAUUCAAUACCCAACCAAUGCACUUGUCCAUUGUCUUGAUCUUAUUAGAUUAAGAACCCUGCAAAGCUAGAUGUUUCACUGUCAGCCCUGAAUCCGUGACCACACUGCCGGGUCAUAAGGCGGUGGUGAACUGCGCGCUGUGGCUUCCAACCAAGAAGGAUGCACUCCAGGGAGACACACUAUCUAUUGUCCGGAAGUUCUGAUGGUGCUAUUAUGGCGUGGAAGAUUGGUUCUGGAAUAGGCAAGCUAGCUCCUGGGUACAUGGACUCCCUACAAAAAAAGCUUGGAUCCACUAUGGAUCAUCUGCUGCCUUGGAGUGACCAUGGCCAAGAAGACGUUCGUACCCGUUCCCUGGUGCUGUCCGGCGGGUCAGUGCUUGGGCGCUCUUCAACGCCUUCGUUUUUGUUGUCUCCUACGAUCUUUCGCUACACGCUCGGCCACUAGCACAUCCCCUGCAGUAAGGUAACUAACUACUACCAUCCGUGCUUGUGCUUGUACUAAUUCUGAAUCAUUUCAGUCCAGUUUGAGGCCAGCCGCAGCCACAUCGUCGACGGCAUCCAUCAAUCCUGGAUCCUUCGACAUCUGGAUAGACCGUUGCUCCCUCAUCGACUACGACGAUGGGCUCAUCAAUAUCACCUGCCACAACAUCGACAUCACCGUCUCCAUGUCAUUCUGUUGUUUGUCCCUGCUACCAAGUCACUCAAUGUUUGGUUUCUCAACAAAUUUCACUCAUUACAUUGGAUAUUGUGUUGUACUGGUGAAAAUAAUUGUGUGUGUAUGUGAUUGCAGUUUUUUUUAUGAUUGAUGUUAUGAUGGUUAAUCACAUUGUACACUGGGCGAUCAAACUAAUAUCCAUAUAUCUUGCAUCAAUAUUGUAGUUAUUGAUGACAUAGCUUAUGAGGAAAGACCAUGGUAAAUGAAGAGACAACGUUACACUGGCUUCUAUCUCUGUGAGGUCAGUAGCAAUAUGGUCAUUUGAUGCAACAAACCAGAGGAACAAGUCCAGGUUCAUCAAUCAUAGUUGUGAACCAAACACGGAGAUGCAGAAAUGGACUGUAGGUGGAUAGACCAGAGUGAAUUUCUCAAGCAAGUGGAGGUCCAGUGGCAUGAGAGCAAGAUUGUUAAAGGUCCAAGUCUGUGUAGGUCCUUAGUUAUAUUUCUGGCCAGGAGAAGGAAGAAGUGUUGCUUGACUGGAAUGAGAUUGCAGAGAAAUUUGGAUGUCAUUUGCUACAUCAAGUAGUCUGGUGUGAUCUCCACAUUCACACGAAAUAUACUUAUGUGAAGUUCAAUUUUAUUGUUUAGGCUUGCUCUACUUUAUGAAAGGACACUUUUUCUGUUGUAGUUA